GUUAAGUUUCGCUCUUAGAAGUUUGUAUCUCGUGCGUGGUAGUAGUUAGGAUUAAAAGCCUAACUAGCUAUAUGCACGUAGUCGUAACUGAAAGGUUGAUCGACCACAGUGGGCCUGAAUAAAGCCCAUGACGAUUGUCACAGCAGUGAGGAAUAUUGGUCAAUAGCCUAAUUGUAUAAAUGAUGCAGGAUCGACUAUGUCGAAUAAAAUUCUAGGUAGAAUUAUGAUAAUGACAUUGUCUGCCUAUGUGUCUUGACCAAAUUACGUGCCAGCAGUCGCGGUAAUACGUAGAAGACUAGUGUUAUUCAUGUUUAAUCGGUUUAAAGGGUACCUAGACGGUAGAUCAAGCCUAACAUAUUAGAUAAAGGGACUAAUUUACUAGAGUUACUUAUGAGGGGGUAUUAAAGUACUGCUGGUGUAGAGAUGAAAUUCUGUCAUACCUCUUUUCAAUAGAAAAAUAAUGGCACAGGUAUAGGCGAAAGCAUCCCCUUAUGUGAUAACUGACGUUGAGGGACGAAGGCUUUGUGUAGCGAACAGGAUUAGAUACCCCAGUAGUCAAAGCAGAAAAUGAUGAAUGUCAUAGAUUAGAUAAAUAAGUUUAUUCUAUAAAUGAAAGUGUAAGCAUUCCACCUCAAGAGUAAUUUGGCAACAUUGGAACUGAAAUCAUUAGACCGUUUCUGAAACCAGUAGUGAAGUAUGUUGUUUAAUUUAAUACUUAUAUCUUUUAUUGUUUUAUUUUUAAUUUUAUUAUUUUUUUAAUAAAAUUAAAAAAAGGCAAUAUCAUAUAUUUACAAGCGUUGCACGGCUGUCUUCAGUUAAUGUCGCGAGACUUUGGUUAGUUCCAUUAAAUUAACGUAAACCCUUACUUUAUUUUUAUAUAGAGUAGUUCCCCACUAUAUUGGAUA
rnacentral:rRNA from 1 species